rnacentral:rRNA from 1 species
AUUGGACGCUGGCGGCAUGCCUUACACAUGCAAGUCGAACGGUAACAGGUUAAGCUGACGAGUGGCGAACGGGUGAGUAAUGUAUCGGAACGUGCCCAGUCGUGGGGGAUAACGUAACGAAAGCUACGCUAAUACCGCAUACGAUCUACGGAUGAAAGCGGGGGAUCGCAAGACCUCGCGCGAUUGGAGCGGCCGAUAUCAGAUUAGGUUGUUGGUGAGGUAAAAGCUCACCAAGCCUGCGAUCUGUAGCUGGUCUGAGAGGACGACUAGCCAAACUGGAACUGAGACACGGUCCAGACUCCUACGGGAGGCAGCAGUGGGGAAUUUUGGACAAUGGACGCAAGUCUGAUCCAGCAAUGCCGCGUGCAGGACGAAGGCCUUCGGGUUGUAAACUGCUUUUGUACGGAACGAAACGGUGAGCUCUAAUACAGUUUGCUAAUGACGGUACCGUAAGAAUAAGCACCGGCUAACUACGUGCCAGCCGCCGCAGUAA